GCGCGCACGCUAGUGCGCGUCCUCGGAUAAUGAGGAAUUCCUGGAUGCUCCGCGCGGGCCCGCGGUGGGCGCUGCGAGGCUUCACCGUGUCGUCGCGGGCGGAGGGGGCGUGAAGACCGUGCUACGGUGGCCGCCGAGGGACAACACUACGGCUCCCACGCUGGGACAAACGCCUCGGGCCCGGCCCGGGAGCGCCCUCCCCUCCGGGCCAGAGCCAGCCGGGGGCAACUGAAGGGCCGCGCGAAGCGACCCCGUCCUCGGCGGCAUGUGCCCGCCUUGGCGUCGCACCCCCGGGGCACAAGCUCAGCCGCAGGCCCGGUCCCCAGCACCGUCGGCCCGCCGCAUGGUUCCGGACACCGGCACCGCCACGGAGAGGGCACCGGGCCAGCACCUCCCCCAAGGCUCAGCUGAGGGCUCCUAGACGCUGAUGACACCUAUGCUGGCCAUCCGGACACUGCACCGCCACUGCAAAACAGCACUGCCGCCCAGGCCCAAUGCCGGUCAUGCCCAUCCCGCGGCGGGUGCGCUCCUUCCACGGCCCGCACACCACCUGCCUGCACGCAGCCUGCGGACCGCUGAGAACCUCUCACCUGGCUCGCACCAAGUACAACAACUUCGAUGUUUAUGUCAAGACCCGCUGGCUCUAUGGCUUUAUACGCUUCCUGCUCUACUUCAGCUGCAGCCUCUUCACAGCGGCCCUUUGGGGCGCGCUGGCCGCGCUCUUCUGCCUACAGUACCUGGGUGUCCGCGUACUGCUGCGCUUCCAGCUCAAGCUGUCAGUGCUGCUGCUGCUGCUGGGGCGCAGGCGCGUGGACUUCCGCCUCAUGAACGAGCUGCUUAUCUAUGGCAUCCAUGUGACCAUGCUGCUGGUUGGGGGGCUGGGCUGGUGCUUCAUGGUCUUUGUGGACAUGUGAGGGCCCACCCUCCAUGGGGCUCCUGAUUGUGCCAUACCUAGCUUCUCUCUUGGAGGGUGGGGCUGGUAGGGGCUUUUUUUUUUUUUUUUUUUUUUUUUUGCCCCAUCCUGGAGGUAAGGCCUGAAGCACACACUCCCAUUGAGGGGAGAAAAGGGCUGAGACUACUCUGUAAUGGGAACAGCACACAGUCUCGCUGUUGGCUUCUGCGCUGUCCUUGCUGUGCACGUUACCAGAUGUGCUGUCCCCGUUAGCCUCUUGCCUUGGGUUGCCUGUGUGUUUUCAGGUUGUCCAGUGGGUGGCCUGUCUGUCUUUUUUCCACCUUGAGACCUUCUGUGUGACAUUCUCACCAACAUCAGGCCCACCCAGUGGGACACAAAGGGGUGCCUUUGGGCUGCACAGCCCCUUUAUGUGCCCUCCUCCUGGCUGUCCUCAGGGACCCACCUGGCUAUACAAGCAGACAUACUACUGCCACUAACUGCGCCCACUUUGAGCCCAUGGACCACUCUCUGCUGUCACAAGUAGCCGUGUCAGUCUUGAACCCCAAGUCAGGCCUCAGAGUCACCUUGGUUUGCAUAGGUGCAGUUUAGCAGAACAGCAUAUAUGGCAUUGGCUAGAUCCUGGUACAAGGGAGCACAGGCCCCAAGGCUUGAACUCCAGAGCAGGGGGCUGGUCCACACCCUGGGCAGGUCUGUGUGUCAAGCCAUGCUGGAACUCUGCAAACUGAAAGGGCCUAGAAAAACACUUGUGCUUAACCUGGGGAGUUUUUACAGUCUCUGAGGGAUGGGGUCUCCAGCAGCCUCCCAGAGUCUUGGCCAGAUCUGUAGAAAACGGGAAUAAACCGACUGUCCCCCCUCAGUGGUUUUUACUAGUCCUGUGGGCAGCCUGGAUGUGCUAGCUACACCUUCCCCACAUGUUGUUAGGCCUGGUUUGUGAGAUAGAAGAUGGAGUACCUGACCACCUUUGGCCUCUAUCAGGGGUGGGAAUAUGACUCUCACUGGUGACAAGGGCCUAGGUGGCAAAUGAAGUGGUUUGAGCAGUAACUCUGGGUGCAGGACAUUGAGCAUAUCCUGCUACCACAUGCUUCACCCCCCAUUGUCACCCCACAUCCUGGGCAUGGGAGUGGCCCCUUUAACCCUACCCUGCCAAGAAAACCAAACAGGGAAAGCAAAGAUGUAGGACUAUUGACCUAGCUCUUUAACUUGUAGCUGUCGUCGUUGGUCUGGCAAGAGGGCUCAUGGAGGAAGUCUGUCUGCCUCCCAGGAUAGCAGAUGAGGUGCCUUCCCAGUGGACCCUGCUGCUGCUCGCUUGCUGCAGAGAAUUGUUUGCACUAAACCCCACUCUUCCCCCAAAGCAACAUUGUUCUUUGUUAAUUAGCUCAUGUAUCUCAGAGUGGCCUGAAGCCCCAUUUUGCUGGGUGAUGGUGGGUGUGUCAGGGCUGGUGGUGGGAGGGAAUGAUGGGACCUUGUCACUCAGUGCACACCCAGCUGCCUAGUGUCCUGAGUGCCUGUUAAAUUCUUUAUGAGAGGAAUCACCUGCAUUAAACCUAUUUUUUUAAUGUGC
ensembl:lincRNA C330006A16Rik RIKEN cDNA C330006A16 gene